CUUCCGUAGGUGGAACCUGCGGAAGGAUCAUUACCGAGUGAGGAGCCCUUUGGGUCCAACCUCCCACCCGUGUUUAUUUACCUCGUUGCUUCGGCGGGCCCGCCUUAACUGGCCGCCGGGGGGCUCACGCCCCCGGGCCCGCGCCCGCCGAAGACACCCCCGAACUCUGCCUGAAGAUUGUCGUCUGAGUGAAAAUAUAAAUUAUUUAAAACUUUCAACAACGGAUCUCUUGGUUCCGGCAUCGAUGAAGAACGCAGCGAAAUGCGAUACGUAAUGUGAAUUGCAAAUUCAGUGAAUCAUCGAGUCUUUGAACGCACAUUGCGCCCCCUGGUAUUCCGGGGGGCAUGCCUGUCCGAGCGUCAUUGCUGCCCUCAAGCCCGGCUUGUGUGUUGGGCCCCGUCCUCCGAUUCCGGGGGACGGGCCCGAAAGGCAGCGGCGGCACCGCGUCCGGUCCUCGAGCGUAUGGGGCUUUGUCACCCGCUCUGUAGGCCCGGCCGGCGCUUGCCGAUCAACCCAAAUUUUUAUCCAGGUUGACCUCGGAUCAGGUAGGGAUACCCGCUGAACUUAAGCAUAUCAUUAAGCGGAGGAA
rnacentral:rRNA from 1 species